CUAACAUGUAUGCAAGUCUGUGGGUGUUACACCCGUACAAGCGAAAAAAAACUAAUUCGUGGGAUCCCCUUUGGGGGUGCACCACAGACUGACCUUGAUCUUUUGAGAAGGGUUUGAGUGUUAGCAUACCUGCUGGGACCCGAAAAGAUGGUGAACUAUGCCUGAGUAGGGCGAAGCCAAAGGAAACUCUGGUGGAGACUCGUAGCGAUACUGACGUGCAAAUCGUUUGUCAGACUUGGGUAUAGGGGCGAAAGACUAAUCGAACCAUCUAGUAGCUGG
rnacentral:ncRNA from 1 species